rnacentral:rRNA from 1 species
AUUGAACGCUGGCGGCAGGCCUAACACAUGCAAGUCGAGCGGUUGAAGGCAGCUUUCUCCUGGUUUCAGCGUCGGACGGGUGUGUAUUGCCUAGGAAUCUGCCUGCUCGUGGUGUAUAACGUCCGGUCACGGGCGCUACUACCGCAUACGUCCUGAUGGUGUUCGUGGGGGUUCUUCGGACCUCACGCUAUCUGAUGUGCCUAGGUCGGAUUAGCUAGUUGGUUGGGUAAAGGCCUACCAAGGCCACGAUCCGUAACUGGUCUGAGAGGAUGAUCAGUCAAACUGGAACUGAGACACGGUCCAGACGCCUACGGGAGGCAGCAGUGGGGAAUAGUGGACAAUGGGCGAAAGGGUGAUACAGCGAUGCAGCGUGGGUGAAGAAGGGCUGCGGAUUGUAAAGCACUGAAAGUUGGGAGGAAGGGAAGUAAGUUAAAACCUAGCUGUGUUGACGUUACCAAAAGAAGAAGCACCGGCUAACUACGUG